UUGCAGCCACAUCAUGUUGAAACACUGGUUCCCUUACGAUCAAUGAAGUUAAGCAAUGUUGAGUCUGGUCAGUACCUAAAUGUGUGACUGUUUGGGAAUACCAGGUGCUGUAAG